GGAAGAGGCAUCAUUAUCCUCACUUUAUUUUGCUCAAAUGCCAAGUAGCGUUCAGGGCUUUGGGAGCCAAUCACUAAAGACAGCCUAACUCUGUCCUCAUGAGGUGCUUCUUGGGAAGCAGAGAAGCGGUGGAUGAGUAUCCAAACAGAAGGUCAGGUCAUGGAAAGGCUGCGAAGACCAGGGCAGGAGGGGCUCCCGGCUGAUGGGGUCUGAUAGGUGGGGUCACGGAGGGCCUCUCUGAGCAGAGACCACGGGCAGGGGGAACCAACGAGACCACACUGGGCUUGAAGGACAGCCCCGGGGCCGGGGAGGUUGGCGCGGGGGUGGGCGCUGAGACAGGAAAGGGCCCGGAGGGUCAGUGCUCGCAGAGUGGAAGCAGGUGUCCCCCUUCCCGAAGAGGCGGCCAGGGCGUGGGGCGGGACGUCCAGAGCUGGUGGGCAUGGCAGUGGCUGGCCUCCGAGUCCUCCCCUGUAGCAACGGCAGGCUCCCCUUGUGGGGAGACCCACCGGGCUUGGCACCCGGCGCUGAAGUUCAGUGCCCCCGAGGGCACCUCUCCCGCCCAAGCUGUCGAGUCUGCUGCAGGGUCUCCCCGAUCAGCAGUUCCCAGAAUGGGGGGGGGGCCGGGCCCGAAGGUUGGGCCCUGGGACCAGGACUUGGGGAUUGAUAACAGGUUUAUGGCUGGGCUGGGAAGUGCUGUUUCCCGGCAGUCCCGGCCUCCUGUGCUCACCCGACAUCCUGAGUGACAGUGGUCUGGCCAGAGCUUCUGGCGGCUCAGGAGCUCAGGGGGGCCUCUUGAUUUCCCCCUCGCCCAGUGAGAGUGUCUCAGCUGUCCGCAGGGCACUGUUGCCGAAACCUCCUGACUGGUGAUUUUCCAUCUAGAAGGCUUUUUUUCCCCCCUCUUUACAGCUACACCUGUGGCCUAUGGAAUUUCCCAGGCUAGGGGUCAAAUUGGAGCUGCAGCUACUGGCCUACACCACAGUCACUGCAACACCAGAUCCUUAACCUACGGAGCGAAGCCAGGGCUCGAACCUGCAUCUUCAUGGAUACUAGUUGGGUUCUUAAUCUGCUGCGUCACAGCGGGACUCCUGAGACUCUUGCUCGUGGUGGCCCCGUGUUCCAAGCUCUCUGGGCCCGUGCUGGCCUCCUGUGCUGCACUAACCCGGUGUCAAGGCGAGCCGGAGGCGGGGUGGUCUUGCCGUUUACGAUCUUUGCUUGCUUUUUGAGGGAGCAACACUGCUGGCGGGAGUCCAGGGAGAGUUGAUGGGGUGACCACAGUCCUCACCAAAGUGGUCAGCGGGUGAAACACACGCUGCCUCGUUGACCCACUCACUCACCUGAAAUCCGCCUUAGGCCAGAGACCGAGCAGCUGUGGUGGGCAGAGGCGGCAGGGAAGAGAAAGGAAGCAGGUGUGUGUCGUGCACAGGGCCCAGGGCUGGUAGCACCCGUGGAGCGUAGAUGGGUUCUUGCGGAGGGGCCGGGAGACCGUGGUCUUGUUACAUGUAAAGUGCAGACACGGGUACGUUCCGUACACAGACAGCUGCGCGCUGCAUCUGUGACGGUGACCUUCGUUCUGGGUGAGUGGGGAGGGGUUAGCGCGGGGCUGGAAAGCCUCAGGGCUCAGUAGAGAGGCCGACUGAGAAGCCCUGGUACGCUGCGUGGGGGCUGCGGGAUGGGCUGAGGUGGGCCCCCAGCCUCUGGCGGCUGACCCGCAGGGGCCUUGAGAGGGAGCGGAGGGUCCGAGUUUGGGCAGAUGACAAAUGAGCCUUGCAGGAUCAGGCCCUUGCAACCCUCCCCACCGGGCCCUGUGGUCUGGGAGCCUUGCAGGGACGCAGUCCUGGUGGCCCUCAGCCUUAAUCCACAUCACCCACGUGGGUGUCAGGGCUCCCUGGUCCUGUCUCCUUGCUGAGCCCGCCGGAGGGGGCUGGCUGGGCAGGUAGCUCUGAGACGACCCAGUGUCUCUAAGCGCCCACCUUGGCAUCAGAAGAGUUGGAACCGUGGUGCCAGUGGGGAUCUGGCCUGUCCCUCCCCGCCCCCGGCUCUGUGGAGAGCUGGAGCAGGGAGGCUGAGCCUAGCCAGAGGGAGCGCCUGCACUGCAGAGGGCGAGGCUUGCCGUUGGGCAUCUGGAGCAGGGUGCCGAGGGCCAGCCUGACCACCCGUGGUCCCCUGACAUGUGGAAAGUGAGCCACGUGGCUGCCCCAUGGCAGUGGCCCAGCGGGGUGGGGUGCAGUUGAUGGCGCGAUACACACGGGCGGGCAGGCGGCUUUGAUGUGGCCCCUGCGUGUGUGUGUUGGGGGUGGCAGGCGUAUUACAGGAACAGGCAGCCGAGCGUCGUCAUCUCUUAGCCAAGGUGUUCUUGGAAGCGCUCUCGUUCCGAGUGGGAGUUAGGAAACGGCCCUCCGUCGGAGCAGCUCGGUGUGUGUGACGCGUUGUUGAUUCCCUUGUGGCGACCGUGUGCGCCUGUGCGCCCUGUGAGAGAAGGUCAUGCUGGCCGCGGGACUGACCCCGCUGGUGGGGGGGCGUGAGGAGGCCGGCGCGGGGACCCUGCAGAGGCGCGCGGGCCGUGGUCACCCUGGGUGUUCUUGGUGCUGUGCCGGGGGCAGGAGAGGCCGGAGCCAGGCCUCGGCCCCCUGCAGGAGGAAGGGCGUCGCAAGCAGCCUUGGGAGGCUGAGUUGGGGGAUCGUCGUUUUGGGAGGAGGUCUGCUGGGGAGGGAGGGACGGGGGGCAGAGUCCAGAGCCCUCUUCUAUUUUGGGUGACAUUUUGGGAUUUGGAGAGAAGCCACCAUCCUCAUUACAGAGCUGCCGCCGUGCUGUUGUCAGGGACAGGAAGUUCCCAGGGCUGGGGGACAAGGCAGGACCCACAACCUCACGGCUGCUCAUCCCGUCCCUGUUUCUCUGAUGUUAACUGGCUCACUGUCUAGCACAGGGGACGGUGUCUGACACAGGCAGGGGUCUCAGGUUCUCUCCUGCUCCGGCCCUGAGUGGAUGUCACCUAGGUGGCCUGUCCGAGCCCCCAGCAGACUCACUUCCAGUGCCCUGGGCUCCACGGUUUGUGGUGCAUCAGUGACUGAGGGGGAGUCGCGUGGCCCUUGGGAGGCAGGGCCCAGCUUGUCUUCAGGUGGAAGCAGUGUGGGUAACCAAGUCCUUCGUCACCCCGUGUCACAGCCCCGUCUGCUGGGUCAGGCUGCUCCCUAGAAGCAGGUGUGGACUGAGGGAGCCCGGAGCCCCAGGGGCCAGGACAUAGCAGUGGCCGCUCUGAGCGGGAGUAGAGGUUCUGGGCUCCCUGGGAGAGGCCUGGCCUAGCUGGGCGGGGAGAAGGGAGCCUGAGCACUGGCGUCUCCGGGGCCCCUUUGAGAGCCCCUUUCUCGUCCUGGUUGGGGUCGGGGGCAGGGGAGGCCAGAGCAGCAGAAAGAGGAGCUGUCGCAGUGAGCGUCUCCCGUGGGGAGCGCCAGGCUGCUCCACAGGCUCUGUGGCCCUUGCGUCUCCGGCAGUGCCUUGGGUGGGGGAGGCGUGGCUGCAGGGAGCUCAGGGUGGACAGUGGGCCCUGCCAGCCUGUGCCCCUGGUGCCUUGUUCCCGCACACCCACAGCGGGCUGCUUUUCUCGUAGGUCGGGGCGUGGCGCGGAGAGGCGCGGUGGCUGCUGUGCUCACUUCCUGUCUGCACGUUUCCUUUCCCUGCAGGCCUCUGGCUCUACCUGGCAGGGAGCAGCCUGCCCUCUCUCACGUUGAUUGGCUCUCCUAAUUUUGGGUACAGGUCAGUGCACCGGGACCUGGAGGCCCAGAUCGCCAUCGUGACGGAGAGCCGGGCCCUGCAGCAGCAGCUUCACCAGGUUGGUCAGGGCGCGUGGGACCUCCCGGGUGGGCUGGGGGCUCCUGACGGAGACCUGCCUCCACGGUGGAUGCCGCUCUUGCCCUGCAGGGGCUGUCCCCACAUCCUGGGGACACUUUCAGCCCCUGUUCCCCAGAAGAGAGCACUGCUUUCCCACUGGGAUGGGAAUACAGCGCUGGUUCCCUACCUUCCCUAGGCUGCGUGUCAGCCAUGAAGCGGGGUAGGAGCUGGGGUUGCGCAGGACCGGGGCCCCUUGGGGCAGAACUUCAGGUGGCCCACGGAGGGACUUCGGAGUCGGGGGAGGCAGAGACAGGAGGCGGGGCUGCCACUCAGGCAGGAGGGGUGCACAGGGAGCCAAAGUCUCUGCAGGUGGAGACGGGAGCCGGAAGCAAUAACCAAACCUUACAAAGGACUCAGAUGCCCGUGGGAGGUCCCACUGUGGCGCAGUGGGUUAAGAACCUGACUGCAGGGGCUUGGGUCACUAUGGACAUGCAGGUUUGAUCCCUGGCCUGACAGCAGUGGUUCGAGGGAUCUGGUGUUGCCACAGUCACGGCUCAGAUUCAAUCCCUGGCCUGGGAACUGCCAUAUGCCGCCGGUGUGGCCGUUUAAAAACAAAACUAAAAGCCAAUUCAGAGGCCUGUGCAGACAGAAGUGAAGUGGUUCAUGGGGAUCUAAGCCAUUGCAGGGCUUUGAGAAUCCCGUUCACAGGUACCUGUGCCCUUGGGUCAGCACAGAUGGUCCCUUUGCGCCGAGAACUUGGAUUCUAUUUAUUUUAUUUCCAAGUAGUGACACUUGUUGAUGGUCUGGCUUGGGUUUGAACAUAGAGCAGGUGGUGGAGGGAGAGCCUGGAGGUGUGCCUGGCCAGGAGCGGGGCCCCCCCGUGGUGUUUGUGGGGCCUGGAGGUGGGUGGCGGGUGUCAGGGGGACGGUGAUCACGCGAGGCAGGCCCCUGUCCCCAAAGGGUCUUGGAGUUUCUGCGCUGUGUUUCUCCUGCUCACAGUGGUAACAGGGUUUCUUUCCUUGCAGCUGGGAGGGAAGGCAGGCAUCUGCCUUGACAGCGUUCGUGCUCUGCGUGGCUCGGGGCCUUGUGUGGGCCACCGAGGCCCCCUGCUCCCCUGGGAAGAGGCUGCCUGGCACAUCUCAUGGGAGAGCAACCCUUUUUCCUGAGCUGGGGCAGGAGAAUCAUGGGGGACUGGGCCCUGAGUCCCUAUUGCUGGCUGCUAGGGACCCUGGUCAGGUCCAGGGAAGCAGGGCAGGGCGCCCUCUGCUCACUGGGACAGGAAUGCAGCGGCUGUUCCCAGAGGGGCCGCGGUGUCUCGGCCUCCUUCCGGGGUAGCAGUCUUUUCCUUUAAGUUGAGAGUAACUUUCAGUGAACUGCCUGGUGCCCUGCCUGAGUCUCUGCACGGAUCGCCUGCAGCAGGGCUGGUGGGCUUUGGGGGUACAGGCACAGCGCCUCUGUGUACGAGGCCUCCCUGGUCCUCUGCGCUCAGGAGUUUGUGACCUUUACAACGAAGCCUUUCCAGGGAAGGUGCCAGCUUCCCUCCUGAGUCACGGGAAGGCAGAUAACGCUGCCGCAGGCCAGCCCUCCGAGGCGCAUGGACUUAGUCUCGUGUUUGGGAAUUACUGUUGCGAAAUGGUUGCAGCCUUUGUUGAUGGACAAGGAAAUGGUAACUGCUUUGCUCCCGGGGAUCUGCCUCCCGCGAUCUGGGAAUCUUGUCAGUGCCGGAGUGGGGCCUUGGUGCCGGGAAGGUCUACACGACCAGGCCGAGAGGAAGUGGCAGCGGUCGGGCUCUGGGUGGCCGGCGGAAGAAUCUAUCUGCUCAGCAGAUCACAGAUGCUAUGGGGAGGCUUCCAGCAAGUGACCGAGGAGGUUUCAGCAGAGGCUGGCCAGCCUCAGGGUGGGCUGGGCUGAGAGGGACAGGCCAGCCUCCGAUGGCGGGGUCUCCCGGACUUUCUCCUGGGUUGCUGGGAGCCGGCUUUCUGCAGGCAGUAGAGAGGGGUCCGUGUGGCCGUGGCCUCGUGCCAGGACGAGGUCUCUGUGGGCCCGGGUUGAUUUGGGGGGCGAGUCUCUGCCAGGGCCCGGGCGCUGGCUGCUCUCCCCGCCUCCUGAGUGAGGGGACUGAGCCCACAUCCUGGAUCUUAAGAAGAGCCGGGCAGGCUGCGGUCAGGAGCUGCUUUCCCAAAUGACAUAUUUGGGAUGUUUUCUUUUUCUUCCCAAACCUGAAUCCCAGGGGCUUUGGAUGGUGGGAGGGUGGCAGUUUGUGCCAGCUGCAGCCCUUCCGUUCUCUGCAGGCACGUGGACUUCUGUGCCUUUGAAAUGCAGCGAUGCAUUUCUGGAUAAUUCCACCUACAUACUUAACACCUGGACGGCAGCCAUCCUCUGGAGAGGCCCACGCGCUGCCCGAUCCCGAGACUGCCCCGCUGCCCAGCUGCCCCACAGCCCAGAAAGUCCCUGAAACCCCAGCUGCCUGGGUCCCCGCUCUCCAGAGCCGCCUCGGGAGCCCUUGGGACCCAGGGAAAGGCCUGUUCAUGUCCCAUUAGUGCCGGAGAAGGGGAGGUGUUUUCAUCUGAAUCUAAGUCCCUCCCUUGAGUUAGCGCAUUUGGUGGAAGCUGCAAGCUUCCUGGUUGGUUCGGAGAGCUCAGUGGACCCCUGCGACCUAAGGAGGCUCCCUGGACAGCGCCGCGCCCCGUUCAGCUGACCUCCUCCUCCAUCCCUGAGCGCAGGCUGGGAGGAAACGCAAGUGUCUCUGCUAAUUUAAGUGAAAUCCUGGCUGUGGAGUCAGAUGAAAACAUGCAGCUGGAGCCGGGUCUCUGGAGACGCCUGCAGACCCGCCCCCCGCGGCAAGGGCGCCUCCGCUGGCAGGCCAGGCCCGUGCCGCCGCCGUGUGGGCCACGGGCGCCCAGCCCCUUCUCGACAGGGGGUGAGCUCAGAAAAUGGGCGGGAAAAGAGGCCGUGGGGACUGGAUGUCCCCAGCCUGCCGGGAGAAGCUCAGACGGGGUGUCACACUGUGGAGGGCCCGGUGUCCUUGGUCCGUCCUCACUGGGCAGAGGAAUUUGUCAGGGACGCGGCUUCCCUUCUGCCCCCAGAGGGCUCCUGGUGAUGGAAGCAGAGUCGCAACCCCGACUGCUGCCCCUUGAAAGCUUCCAUUCCUUGUUCAGAAGGCACAACACGUAUAGGGUGAGAUGUUUAAAGAGGAGGCAGCUUCUCCUCUCAAAGAUUCUAAGCAGUUUAAGACAAGGCUCAUAUCCGUGUUUAAAUUCCUUUUGUGUGUGUGUGUAUGUGCGUGCGUGCGUGCGCGUGCGCGCUUUUUAGACCGCACCUAUGGCAUAUGGAAAUUCCAGGCUCGGGGUUGAGUCAGAGCUGUAGCCGCCGGCCUCUGCCAGAGCCGCAGCAGCGCCAGAUCCGAGCCGCGUCUGCGACCUACACCACAGCUCAUGGCGACGCCGGAUCCUUAAGCCAUUGAGUGAGGCCAGGGAUCGGGUCGUGGAUGCCAGUCAGAUUCAUUUCCACUGCCCCAGGACGGGAAAUCCAGUUUUAACUUUUUUUAAAUAAGAAAGUAAUAGUCAUUCGUUGUAAAACUUGAGAAAAAUUGGAAGAUGCUAAGCCCUUCGUACUAAGUCACUGAUACCGUUUUGUGUUUUGAGUUGUCUGAGCCCUUUGUAUCGUUUGGGUGUUAACCCCUUGUAGGUCACAACCCUUCUGUAGGUGGUGGGUUUCGUUUUGCUGAUGGUUUUGGGUUUUGGCCACACCUGCAGCAUAUGGAAGUUCCCGGGCUGGGGAUCGAAUCUGAACUGCAGCUGCGCCAGGCCACUGCACUGGGCCGGGGAUCAGACCCGGGCCUCUGCAGACAGCGCCGGAGUCUUCACCCGCGGAGCCGCGGCGGGAGCUCCUUUCUUCUCUUUAACUUCAUUGAAGUCCGGUCGACGGGCCGUGUGGUGUCAGUUUCGGCCGUGCGGCGGAGUGACUGAGUCACGCGUUCCUUCCCAUGAUGGGGUUUAUCUCAAGACGCUGAAUGGAGUCCCCCCCCUGUGCUGCAUAGAAGGACCCUGUUGUCUGUUG
ensembl:lncRNA